rnacentral:rRNA from 1 species
AUGGUGUGCGCGCCGGAGAGGACGACCAGGUCCUCCGCGUUGAGGCCCUUGAUGACGAAGCUAGCGACGAGGUCGCUGAGGUUGGACGUCGGCGGGACCAGGAACUUGAGCGGCUCGGAGGCGUUGGAGAAGGUGCCGUCGCGGCGGCCGGCCGGCAUCUGGAAGUUUACUUUGCCCCUGCUGAGGAUGCAGGACGCGUCACGGGCCGCAAAGGCGACGAUGUCUGCACAGGAGACGACGCCUGGGCAGGCCGCCUCGAGGGCGUCUUUGAUGGCGUCAAUCAGCUCGAAGCCGCGCAGGGUAGGGUCGUUCGGCGGGCUGAGUUUCUCAGGCGUCGGGCUGAAUGGGGUCGGGUCCAGAAGGACGGAAGCAUCACAGCCCUAA